rnacentral:rRNA from 1 species
CGAAGGGGCUAGCGUUGCUCGGAAUGACUGGGCGUAAAGGGCGCGUAGGCGGCACACACAGUCAGGCGUGAAAUUCCUGGGCUUAACCUGGGGGCUGCGUUUGAGACGUGUGAGCUAGAGGAUGGAAGAGGCUCGUGGAAUUCCCAGUGUAGAGGUGAAAUUCGUAGAUAUUGGGAAGAACACCGGUGGCGAAGGCGGCGAGCUGGUCCAUUACUGACGCUGAGGCGCGAAAGCGUGGGAGCAAACAGGAUU